rnacentral:rRNA from 1 species
AGCAGCCGCGGUAAUUCCAGCUCCAAUAGCGUAUAUUAAAGUUGUUGCAGUUAAAAAGCUCGUAGUUGAAUUUCGGGGUUAGUAGGUUGGUCAUGCCACUGGUAUGUACUGAUCUUACUGAUUCCUCCUUCCUGAUGAACCGUAAUGCCAUUAAUUUGGUGUUGCGGGGAGACUGGACUGUUACUUUGAAAAAAUUGAGUGUUUAAAGCAGGCUAACGCUUGAAUACAUUAGCAUGGAAUAAUGAAAUAGGACGUUCGAUCCUAUUUUGUUGGUUUCUAGGAUUGACGUAAUGAUUAAUAGGGAUAGUUGGGGGCAUUAGUAUUCAAUUGUCAGAGGUGAAAUUCUUGGAUUUAUUGAAGACUAACUACUGCGAAAAGCAUUUGCCAAGGAUGUUUUCAUUAAUCAAGAACGAAAGUUAGGGAUCGAAGACGAUCAGAUACCGUCGUAGU